ACGGGAGGCAGCAGUGGGGGAUAUUGCACAAUGGGGGAAACCCUGAUGUAGCGACGCCGCGUGAGUGAUGAAGUAUUUCGGUAUGUAAAGCUCUAUCAGCAGGAAAGAUAAUGACGGUACCUGACUAAGAAGCGCCGGCUAAAUACGUGCCAGCAGCCGCGGUAAUACGUAGGGGGCAAGCGUUAUCCGGAUUUACUGGGUGUAAAGGGAGCGUAGACGGCUAAGCAAGUCUGAUGUGAAAGGCAGGGGCUCAACUCCUGGACUGCAUUGGAAACUGUUUAGCUCGAGUGCCGGAGAGGUAAGCGGAAUUCCUAGUGUAGCGGUGAAAUGCGUAGAUAUUAGGAGGAACACCAGUGGCGAAGGCGGCUUACUGGACGGUAACUGACGUUGAGGCUCGAAAGCGUGGGGAGCAAACAGGAUUAGAUACCCUGGUA
rnacentral:rRNA from 1 species